ensembl:lincRNA
AUGUCUUUGAAAGCUAGUAAAAGUCAGGUUUUUAUAUCAAGUGUAGAGUAUUCCAAUUGUAUCCUCAAGUUACAGCUAGCUCACAAUGCUCUUGUUCUGUGCGGUGUAUCAGCAUGUGUACCUUUAUCUUGCCAUUUCCUCACACUUUAUUUUUGGUACCCAGGACUGAACUCAGGACCUUGUGCUUGCAAGGCAGGUAGCAGCACCACUGAGCUAAAUCCCUGGCCCUCCUUACACUUCUUUACCGGACUAGGAGCAUCUGAAGGGAGAAGAUGGAACACAGGACCAUGAGCCCUUCAAUCCAAUUGAAGCGGGCCCCAAGUACUCAAGAUUUAAAAGGAAUAAAACCAGUAACAGGGAUGGGGAUUUAGCUCAGUGCUUCCACCGCCUGCCUCACAAGCGUUUGAGUUCAAUCCCUAGUACCAAAAACAAAAACAAAAACAAAAACAAAAACAACCCAGUAACAUUCAGGCAGAAGUAAGCAACUGCUCAACUAUUCAUCUGGGAUCAGCUAUGAAAACCUGAUAAUGGCAAUCAUUUUGUGAAUUUAUAAUCAUUAUUUAUUUUAUCAAAAGUAAUAAUAAUUGUGAGGCUGGUGAUUACACAGCCUCUUUCCACCAUUUGUUUGGGCAGAGAAUCUGAGAAUUUAUUAGAAUGUAUUUAAGAAAAAUUAAACAUUCAAAACAUUUUCAUUUACUGGACUACUUUACAUCUAGUGAAAGAAAUAACAUGUCUCACAAAUUACAGUUGUGCCAAUAUCCAUAUAACCCACAAAGGCAUCCUUCAUUAAGACUUAAAACACUUCUAUCAUACAGGUAGGAAAUUCCAAUGUACCUUUUCUCUCUUGAGACAUCUUUUCUUGCCUAUAGUAACCUCUCAUUUGUCAUGGGUUUACACUGCCGAACAUCCUCUUAGAAGUUCUUUUGUGAACUCUUAAUAUAAUCUUUACCCCACUGCAUCACUUGCAGUACUGGGAUUGAACCCAGGCCUUUGCACUGAGCUGAAUUCCAUUCCUACCCAUGUUUGAGAAAGGAUCGUGCUAAAGCUAAUAAACUGUCCAAGCUGGGCUUGAAUUUGAGAUAUUCUGGUCUAAGUCUUUCAGAAUACCUGGAUUGCAGGCAUAUGCCACCACACCCAGCUUAACCUUAACUCUUGCACUUACAUGGUUAAUGACAAAAAUUGUGACUUAACAAUUAGACACAUGGCCAACUUUUCAAAUGUCACAAUACUUUACAAGAAACUAUAUAAAAAUUAUGAGACAAAAUAUCAUUCGAUAAUCAACUUCUUCAACUGGUAUUUGUAGUAGAUUAAAUAAUGGUCAACUUGUUAAUGUCCAGCUGAACUGAAUCAGCAUGGUCUGUGUGGAUUCAUAACAAUCCACCUAAGGACUGUUACCAAUAGCCAUAAAAUGAAAACUGGAGGGGAACAUUGAGGGCUAUUGAUUUUCUAGGAGAAGCUUGCUGCAGAUAGUUUUCCUGAUGCAAAUUUGGCUAUUCUCAGAGGAGUUCGGGGCCUCAUUGCCACUGGAAAUGGCUGCUGUUCUUGUCAGGGUAGCUCUGAUCUUCACUGUGAGCACCACUUCCUGGCUCCAGUAUAGAUCCUUCAGCCUGAUGGCACAAAUCCUUCACCCCACAGGCACAAGUUUUUGGUUUCCACCACUGGCCUUUGGGCCUUCCAGGUACAGAUCCUUCAUAUGGACAAAUAUGAGACACUGCUGUGGGCUGGACUCAUGGAGGACAUUGCCUUGGACUCUAAGCCUUUAGGGGGACUUGUGUGGGGGACACUGUUGUGGGAUCUAGGCCCUUGGCUGGAUUCUCUGGGCCUCUAGUGUAUGGCUAAUCUCUUGCACUCCUUUGUAUUUGACUUUUUGGGUAAAUAUCAUAAAAUAAUCAUAGUAAGUUAUGUGUCCUGUAUUAAAUGUAUUCCCUUGCCAAAAUCCUGAUUACAAAAGUAUUUUAGGGCAUCAAAAAAAGACUAAGAUAUUUUUCCCUGCUCAAACCUUCAGAAAACUAUUCGUUGAAUCAUUCUAUUUACAGUACUCAUACAACCAUUCUUUAUCUGUUGCUUUUUUCUCUUCUUACCUGUGAAAUUACCUUUAUUGAGAGUUUCUUGGAAAGGAGCAAUUACACAAUAGCCUCUUUGAAUUGCUAGAACAAAGCUCACAUCUAUAGAAAUUAAUUUAAACUCUAGUAAAGAUUUUCCUAAAUCUCAAAGACUGACAGAAAUGUACUGCAGAGUUCAGGAAUCUGUUACCUACUCUUCUGGAAUGCUAGAUCUAUACUAGCCCUUCAAUAUGAGAAAAUGAUUAAAUGCAAUGGGAUAGGAAGGACCAGGAAAUUUAAG